GGGGGGGCGGGAGGGAGGGGGGGGGAGCGGCACGCGCGGCGCCUGACGGAGCCUCACGGAGCGCGGCGGGGCCGGGGCUGAGGAGUUGUUUCUUUUGAAGCGGGGCGAGGCACGCCCUGCCGCCACGGGGACCUGACGGGAGGCGGAAACCCAGCGCACCGGCCCCAAAACGCCGGCCCCACAAUAGCAGCGAUGUGGGGAGCCUCCCAGAAAAGCCUCCAAGGCCUUCAAGGGAAAGCCAACUGCACGGAUCUCCCCGUCUUCAUGCAAACUUCCCUCCUCCCCCCAGGCUGGUUCAGGCAGCAACGUGGGGUCAGGCACAGAAAAACAGGUUACAAAAAGGAAGGGGGGGGGAAACUUGCAAAAAAAGCCUCCUCUAUCAUUACAGGCAGAGACACUUCCAAGCACACAAAGCGCAUGGGUCAGCCCUCGGCUUAAUUGUACCCAACGGUCUAAUUACUCAUUCAAUCACGUUUCAGGAUCAGCGGGCUGCUCGGCAGGCACCGCCGCAGAUUAGGAAGUAUCUGGUUCCUGCCUUGCCCCACUUUCUCCUCCUUUCCCUUCAAAAAAGCCAGCAGAACCCUCUCCAUGCCUCUCCCGGCAGGGCGAGCUGCUCUUUGGGCAGCGCAGUGCACAAGCAGGUAGAGAGCACGUCCUCAGGGUCACCGACCAAAGUCAUGCACAGGUCUCCAGCACUGGGAUGGCAAACCCCAGCCAGACCUCACAAACCUGCACCUGUGGUGAGCUGCAGCAAAUAUGUAAAGAGACUGUCCAGCCUGAUGGUUUUUGGCCUCACCUGCUGCAUCAUCGGAACAGUCACCCAAAGUGUUAAUUGUCACAUUAUUCUGAACACGUGAGCUUAAAGCAGAUCAGGGUCCAAGAAGUCCCUCUACAGACUCCCACUAUGAUCAGCACACGGUACUUUUACUUUCAGAAGUGUUUUAAAUAUGAAUCAGAAGCGAUGACUGUGAGGAAUGCAAAAGCUCAGUUACUCAGCCCAUCACCGCAGCCUCCAACACGCGUGAAACCUGCCCUUUUCCACUCGCUUUUCACCCAUGGGUAAGGAGGACCACGCUGCCACCAACACAGACAUGCCCCAGGUCUGCAAAGCAAUCUUCCUCAGUGGAUCACUGCAAAAUGUCACCUGCUUUGAGUAGGUGAGCACCCACAAAAGUAAUUCCUGCUUCCUGGUGACGUUUGCCCCUGUAAAGAUCUGGGGCAGAACCACACUCGGGGUCUAACGUUCCCCCAAGAGACGUGCAAAGCAUCGUUCAGCAGUACUUACCUACCCCCUGGGGCCACUGUCCAGCACAAUGAAUUCAGCUGCAUCAUAUAUUUGGAAAUCUUACCUGGAGAAUGUAUACCUAUGUCCGCUUCGCCCUUUUAUUUAAGAUGCUCUAACUGUUGCUGAGAAUUUAAUUUAUGCUGAUAUUUUUAAAAUAAACUGCUUUCUAUUCAUGGAAGUAUCACUAAUGAUUUUCUUUCAGUCACUGUUUUAAACACUUUGUGGCAUGGAAACUGCAACCCAGAGACCCAGCAACAGGUGGAGACCAUCAGGUAGCUCCUGGAUUAGGGUCUGCAUUACAGAGUACGCACCAGAAC